rnacentral:rRNA from 1 species
ACGGAAGGCAGCAGUGAGGAAUAUUGGUCAAUGGGCGAGAGCCUGAACCAGCCAAGUCGCGUGAAGGAUGAAGGUUCUAUGGAUUGUAAACUUCUUUUGUUCGAGGGUAAAGUGAGAGAUGCGUCUCUUAUUGCAAGUAUCGGACGAAUAAGCAUCGGCUAACUCCGUGCCAGCAGCCGCGGUAAUACGGAGGAUGCGAGCGUUAUCCGGAUUUAUUGGGUUUAAAGGGUGCGCAGGCGGCGCGUUAAGUCAGCGGUGAAAUGCAGGGGCCCAACCCCGGCAGUGCCGUUGAUACUGGCGCGCUGGAAUGCGGUCGAGGCGGGCGGAAUGUGGCGUGUAGCGGUGAAAUGCAUAGAUAUGCCACAGAACUCCGGUAGCGAAGGCAGCUCGCCAGGCCUGCAUUGACGCUCAGGCACGAAAGCGUGGGGAUCGAACAGGAUUAGAUACCCUGGUA